rnacentral:rRNA from 1 species
GACAGCAGCAGCCGCGGGAAUACGGAGGGUGCGAGCGUUAAUCGGAAUAACUGGGCGUAAAGGGCACGCAGGCGGUGACUUAAGUGAGGUGUGAAAGCCCCGGGCUUAACCUGGGAAUUGCAUUUCAUACUGGGUCGCUAGAGUACUUUAGGGAGGGGUAGAAUUCCACGUGUAGCGGUGAAAUGCGUAGAUAUAUGGAGGAACACCAGUGGCGAAGCGGCUCUCUGGUCUGUAACUGACGCUCAUGCACGAAAGCGUGGGGAGCAAACAGGAUUAGAUACCCCCGUAGUCCCUGUCUCUUAUACA